AUUUUUGUGCGUGCGGAAAUCCAAGACUCUAAACCGUGUUGCUUUUAACUCUUUUUAAUGAGUUUUGUCAAAUUUUUAUAAAGCGUCAAGUCUAAUGGAGAGAAAAAAUUACAAAGUUCAUCUUAGCGCCCUUUUGUUCUAUUGCUUUUUAUUGUCACAAUAUUGCAAGGGCUGGUAGAACUUAUAUGA